GAACGCUGGCGGCAGGCCUAACACAUGCAAGUCGAGCGGAUGAGAAGAGCUUGCUCUUCGAUUCAGCGGCGGACGGGUGAGUAAUGCCUAGGAAUCUGCCUGGUAGUGGGGGACAACGUUUCGAAAGGAACGCUAAUACCGCAUACGUCCUACGGGAGAAAGCAGGGGACCUUCGGGCCUUGCGCUAUCAGAUGAGCCUAGGUCGGAUUAGCUAGUUGGUGAGGUAAUGGCUCACCAAGGCGACGAUCCGUAACUGGUCUGAGAGGAUGAUCAGUCACACUGGAACUGAGACACGGUCCAGACUCCUACGGGAGGCAGCAGUGGGGAAUAUUGGACAAUGGGCGAAAGCCUGAUCCAGCCAUGCCGCGUGUGUGAAGAAGGUCUUCGGAUUGUAAAGCACUUUAAGUUGGGAGGAAGGGCAUUAACCUAAUACGUUAGUGUUUUGACGUUACCGACAGAAUAAGCACCGGCUAACUCUG
rnacentral:rRNA from 1 species